GCUAAGAAUCCAACGGUAAAAGUGGUUAACACACAUCAGCUGUCGUGUACCUACGCCACACCAUUUCUCACAAAACAAAACCCUCACAAAGCCCUCCCCAACCACCAUCGGCAAACAGUAAGUCGGAAAAUGGCUUGGCGCUCAGCUGGUUCGCUUUCUCGGUCAUUGGUGUCCACCGCUAGGGUUUCGUCGCUUCGCUUGGCGGCCCCUCUCCCUCGCCUCCGCCCGCCGUCUCUCUCUACUCCUCGUCGCCUCUUCGCUUCUCCCAGGAACGUGGGAGAGCUGGGAUGCAUACAAUCGCUUAUGCCAAUGCACAACGUGACGGGUGCAACCUGUCUCACAUCUCACCUGGCUGCCAACGGGCGGGGAUGUUGCGAGUUGUCUCACGGUACCUUCUGCCGCACUUGUCAGGAUCGCUAGUAGUUGCUUUGGAGGAAUGGAAAAGAUGGGUGGUGCGCAAGGACUUCCAAUCAUCUAAAGGCAGGAGAAUGAUCAAUUGUUGAACUUGAAAGGACUUUUGGAUCACCAUAGUUGAGUGCAUCUCAACAUUUUGGGUGAUCGUAGAGUUUGGAUGUAACCCGUAGGAACAAGUGCUUUUGGAUUAGGAAAGCUUAGUAGGAGUAUGUCUUUUUAUACUUCAUAAUAAGAAACUUGGUAGUUCAGCUGAUUUCUGGAUGAGGAUGAUGGUUCAUAGGUGUCUGGACUUCAUUGCUUGUACGUGGUAAGUUUCUUUGUCUCGUAAGCUGUGACUGAAUGUUUUAAUGUUCAUUUGUUGAUUAUCAACCUAUAUUAGUGUUUGCUCUUUUGAACAAUAAUGUCAAUUCUGAUAACACUGUAGCAUUUGCUAUUACUUAUUCAAUGAUAAAUUUUCUGGUGAUGCUUCACGGUAAAGUUCUUGCUAAUAAACGGUGUUUCAGAGGAACAUUUCGUGACCAUUUAUAAUAACUCCAUCCUAAACUGUUCGUUAGAUUGAAGAUUGUUAUGCCAUUUCAAAGGAUCUUGUGUAGGUCAUACGCAUCUGGGACUCGUGAUUCUGUUUGCAUAUCGAAAUUAUGCCGGGUUGUGAAUGUCAUAAUAGAGACUAGAAAGCACAUGGGAUGCUUAAGUUGUGAGGGAAGAUCACAAGUGGUGCUGUGAGUUUGUGCAGGCCUAUUGCCCCAUUGCAUUGACUUGUUUGUGGGAGCUGCAGAGGCUCCAACCUGGAGAAGCUGAUCUUGUAGCUCGCUUGCGCCGUAAAUGGAUGAAGUCAACAGCCCUCCCACCUGGUGUGGUCGAACGGCUACCCCGUGUUGGUCCUGAGGGACAGAGGAGGCUAGGUUAGCCGAAAGAUGGUUAUCGGUUCAAGGAUGUGGGGUGCCCCUGAUUUUUCAGGAAGCUUUUUCCAAAGCAUACGGCUUUUUGGAGGUAGAUGAUGAAAUCUAUAUAGAUGGAUCUUAUAUAUGUCGUAUAAUUCUUAUAUAUAUAU